rnacentral:rRNA from 1 species
UACGGAGGACCCGAGCGUUAUCCGGAUUUAUUGGGUUUAAAGGGUGCGUAGGCGGAUUGGUAAGUUAGAGGUGAAAGCUCAGCGCUUAACGUUGAAAUUGCCUCUAAUACUGUUGGUCUAGAGUAUAGUUGCGGAAGGCGGAAUGUGUGGUGUAGCGGUGAAAUGCUUAGAUAUCACACAGAACACCGAUUGCGAAGGCAGCUUUCCAAGCUAUCACUGACGCUGAUGCACGAAAGCGUGGGGAGCGAACAGG